rnacentral:rRNA from 1 species
AGAGUUUGAUCCUGGCUCAGAAUAAACGCUGGCGGCGUGCCUAACACAUGCAAGUCGAGCGAGAAAGCUCCUUCGGGAGUAAGUGAAGCGGCAGACGGGUGAGUAACGCGUGAGAAUCUACCUUCUAGUGGAGAAUACCUUCGAGAAAUCGAAGCUAAUACUGCAUAAGUCCCUUCGGGGAGAAAGAUGGCCUCUUUGCUGUCGCUGGAAGAUGAGCUUGCGUGCUAUUAGCUAGUUGGUAAGGUAAAGGCUUACCAAGGCGAUGAUAGCUAGCCGGCCUGAGAGGGUGUACGGCCACACUGGAACUUAGACACGGUCCAGACUCCUACGGGAGGCAGCAGUGAGGAAUCUUGCGCAAUGGGCGAAAGCCUGACGCAGCGACGCCGCGUGGAGGAUGACGGUCUUCGGAUUGUAAA